AUACAGAGGGUGCAAGCGUUAAUCGGAAUUACUGGGCGUAAAGCGCGCGUAGGCGGUUUGUUAAGUCGGAUGUGAAAUCCCCGGGCUCAACCUGGGAACUGCAUUCGAAACUGGCGAGCUAGAGUAUGGUAGAGGAUAGUGGAAUUCCGGGUGUAGCGGUGAAAUGCGUAGAUAUCAGGAGGAACAUCAGUGGCGAAGGCGGCUAUCUGGACCAAUACUGACGCUGAGGUGCGAAAGCGUGGGGAGCAAACAGGAUUAGAAACCCUAGUAGUCC
rnacentral:rRNA from 1 species